rnacentral:rRNA from 1 species
GGGGGGGAGACUAACAGGAUUCCCUAGUACUGCGAGUGAAGCGGGAAAAGCUCAAAUUUAAAAUCUGGCGGUCUCUGGCCGUCCGAGUUGUAAUCUAGAGAAGUAAUGCCCGUGCUGGACCGUGUAUAAGUCUCCUGGGAUGGAGCGUCAUAGAGGGUGAGAAUCCCGUCUUUGACACGGACUACCAGUGCAUUGUGGUAUGCUCUCAAAGAGUCGAGUUGUUUGGGAAUGCAGCUCAAAAUGGGUGGUAAAUUCCAUCUAAAGCUAAAUAUUGGCGAGAGACCGAUAGCGAACAAGUACCGUGAGGGAAAGAUGAAAAGAACUUUGGAAAGAGAGUUAAACAGUACGUGAAAUUGCUGAAAGGGAAACGCUUGAAGUCAGUCGCGUUGGCCGGGGAUCAGCCUUGCUUUUGCAUGGUGUACUUUCUGGUUGACGGGUCAGCAUCAAUUUUGACCRCUGGAAAAAGACCUGGGGAAUGUGGCAGCUUCGGCUGUGUUAUAGCCCUUAGUCGCAUACAGUGGUUGGGAUUGAGGAACUCAGCACGCCGCAAGGCCGGGUUUCGACCACGUUCGUGCUUAGGAUGCUGGCAUAAUGGCUUUAAGCGACCCGUCUUGAAACACGGACCAAGGAGUCUAACAUGCCUGCGAGUAUUUGGGUGGAAAACCCAAGUGCGUAAUGAAAGUGAAAGUUGAGAUCCCUGUCGUGGGGAGCAUCGACGCCCGGACCAGAACUUUUGGGACGGAUCCGCGGUGGAGCAUGUAUGUUGGGACCCGAAAGAUGGUGAACUAUGCCUGAAUAGGGUGAAGCCAGAGGAAACUCUGGUGGAGGCUCGUAGCGAUUCUGACGUGCAAAUCGAUCGUCAAAUUUGGGUAUAGGGGCGAAAGACUAAUCGAACCAUCUAGUAGCUGGUUCCUGCCGGAGUCCCCCUGAGGGAA